rnacentral:rRNA from 1 species
AUUGAACGCUGGCGGCAGGCCUAACACAUGCAAGUCGAGCGAGCGGCGGACGGGUGAGUAAUGUAUGGGGCCCGCCCGGUAGGGGGGGAUAACUACUGGACACUGUCGCUAAUACCGUAUACUCACGGAUAACCCAUAUGGGAUUAGCUAGUAGGUGGGGUAAAGGCUCACCUAGGCGACGAUCUCUAGCUGGUCUGAGAGGAUGAUCAGCCACACUGGGACUGAGAAACGGCCCAGACUCCUACGGAGGCAGCAGUGGGGAAUAUUGCACAAUGGGCGCAAGCCUGAUGCAGCCAUGCCGCGUGUAUGAAGAAGGCCUUAGGGUUGUAAAGUACUUUCAGCGGGGAGGCGUUACCCGCAGAAGAAGCACCGGCUAACUCCGUGCCAGCAGCCGCGGUAAUUC